UACGUAGGCAGCGAGCGUUGUUCGGAGUUACUGGGCGUAAAGAGUGCGUAGGCGGUUUUCUAAGUUUGGUGUGAAAUCUCCCGGCUUAACUGGGAGGGUGCGCCGAAGACUGGAAGGCUUGAGUAUGGGAGAGGUAAGCGGAAUUCCUGGUGUAGCGGUGAAAUGCGUAGAGAUCGGGAGGAACACCAGUGGCGAAGGCGACUAUCUGGCUGACAACUGACGCUGAGACUCGAAAGCAUGGGGAGCAAACAGG
rnacentral:rRNA from 1 species